GAGGUUACAGCUCAAGUGGUAGAGCACAUGCUUAGCAUGCAUGAGGUCCUGGGUUCAAUCCCCAGUACCUCCU
rnacentral:tRNA from 1 species